rnacentral:rRNA from 1 species
UACGUAGGGGGCAAGCGUUGUCCGGAAUCAUUGGGCGUAAAGCGCGUGUAGGCGGCUCGGUAAGUCUGCUGUGAAAGUCCAGGGCUCAACCCUGGGAUGCCGGUGGAUACUGUCGAGCUCGAGUCCGGAAGAGGCGAGUGGAAUUCCUGGUGUAGCGGUGAAAUGCGCAGAUAUCAGGAGGAACACCAAUGGCGAAGGCAGCUCGCUGGGACGUUACUGACGCUGAGGCGCGAAAGCGUGGGGAGCGAACAGG